rnacentral:rRNA from 1 species
AGAGUUUGAUCCUGGCUCAGAUUGAACGCUGGCGGCAGGCCUAACACAUGCAAGUCGAGCGGUAGCACAGAGAGCUUGCUCUCGGGUGACGAGCGGCGGACGGGUGAGUAAUGUCUGGGAAACUGCCUGAUGGAGGGGGAUAACUACUGGAAACGGUAGCUAAUACCGCAUAACGUCGCAAGACCAAAGUGGGGGACCUUCGGGCCUCAUGCCAUCAGAUGUGCCCAGAUGGGAUUAGCUAGUAGGUGGGGUAACGGCUCACCUAGGCGACGAUCCCUAGCUGGUCUGAGAGGAUGACCAGCCACACUGGAACUGAGACACGGUCCAGACUCCUACGGGAGGCAGCAGUGGGGAAUAUUGCACAAUGGGCGCAAGCCUGAUGCAGCCAUGCCGCGUGUGUGAAGAAGGCCUUCGGGUUGUAAAGCACUUUCAGCGGGGAGGAAGGCGGUAAGGUUAAUAACCUUGUCGAUUGACGUUACCCGCAGAAGAAGCACCGGCUAACUCCGUGCCAGCAGCCGCGGUAAUACGGAGGGUGCAAGCGUUAAUCGGAAUUACUGGGCGUAAAGCGCACGCAGGCGGUCUGUCAAGUCGGAUGUGAAAUCCCCGGGCUCAACCUGGGAACUGCAUUCGAAACUGGCAGGCUAGAGUCUUGUAGAGGGGGGUAGAAUUCCAGGUGUAGCGGUGAAAUGCGUAGAGAUCUGGAGGAAUACCGGUGGCGAAGGCGGCCCCCUGGACAAAGACUGACGCUCAGGUGCGAAAGCGUGGGGAGCAAACAGGAUUAGAUACCCUGGUAGUCCACGCCGUAAACGAUGUCGAUUUGGAGGUUGUGCCCUUGAGGCGUGGCUUCCGGAGCUAACGCGUUAAAUCGACCGCCUGGGGAGUACGGCCGCAAGGUUAAAACUCAAAUGAAUUGACGGGGGCCCGCACAAGCGGUGGAGCAUGUGGUUUAAUUCGAUGCAACGCGAAGAACCUUACCUGGUCUUGACAUCCACAGAACUUUCCAGAGAUGGAUUGGUGCCUUCGGGAACUGUGAGACAGGUGCUGCAUGGCUGUCGUCAGCUCGUGUUGUGAAAUGUUGGGUUAAGUCCCGCAACGAGCGCAACCCUUAUCCUUUGUUGCCAGCGGUUCGGCCGGGAACUCAAAGGAGACUGCCAGUGAUAAACUGGAGGAAGGUGGGGAUGACGUCAAGUCAUCAUGGCCCUUACGACCAGGGCUACACACGUGCUACAAUGGCAUAUACAAAGAGAAGCGACCUCGCGAGAGCAAGCGGACCUCAUAAAGUAUGUCGUAGUCCGGAUUGGAGUCUGCAACUCGACUCCAUGAAGUCGGAAUCGCUAGUAAUCGUAGAUCAGAAUGCUACGGUGAAUACGUUCCCGGGCCUUGUACACACCGCCCGUCACACCAUGGGAGUGGGUUGCAAAAGAAGUAGGUAGCUUAACCUUCGGGAGGGCGCUUACCACUUUGUGAUUCAUGACUGGGGUGAAGUCGUAACAAGGUAGCC